UACGUAGGGUGCAAGCGUUAAUCGGAAUUACUGGGCGUAAAGCGUGCGCAGGCGGCUUUGCAAGACAGAUGUGAAAUCCCCGGGCUCAACCUGGGAACUGCAUUUGUGACUGCAAGGCUGGAGUGCGGCAGAGGGGGGUAGAAUUCCACGUGUAGCAGUGAAAUGCGUAGAUAUGUGGAGGAAUACCGAUGGCGAAGGCAGCCCCCUGGGAUAACACUGACGCUCAUGCACGAAAGCGUGGGGAGCAAACAGG
rnacentral:rRNA from 1 species